GGGCGGUGGCCGGCGGGGAUGGACCGGUCUGUUGCGUCGGUGUAGAUGCGUGCGGGAUCGACACCCGCGUCGGUCA
rnacentral:tRNA from 2 species